UACGUAGGCGGAUAUUUAAGUCAGGGGUGAAAUCCCAGAGCUCAACUCUGGAACUGCCUUUGAUACUGGGUAUCUUGAGUAUGGAAGAGGUAAGUGGAAUUCCGAGUGUAGAGGUGAAAUUCGUAGAUAUUCGGAGGAACACCAGUGGCGAAGGCGGCCUACUGGUCCAUUACUGACGCUGAGGUGCGAAAGCAUGGGGAGCGAACA
rnacentral:rRNA from 1 species